rnacentral:misc_RNA from 1 species
AACGCAUAUUGCGCCCCUUGGUAUUCCGGGGGGCACACCUGUUCGAGCGCCAUUUCGACCCUCAAGUUUUAACUUGGUGUUGGGUGAGGUCCCCUUCUAGGACCCUCCCGUAACCCGUAGGCGGUUAUCAUCCGUACUCCUCUAGCGUAGCGGGCCCACGCACUCGCUCGGGGAUGGGAUGAGACCGUGCCUUUACAACCUUUUCAAAGGUUUGGCCUCGAAUCAGGUGGGGAUACCCGCUGAACUUAA